UGACCUACCUCGAAGUGAGGGAUACCGGCGAGAAAUCGCCGACAAUCCCGCAUAGGUUACUUUCUUCGGUGGAAGAGAGCAACAAAGCUGUUGUCGCAAGACGAGGGCGCUUUGAGAUGGGCCCGCGGCCGAUUAGCUGGUUGGUGGGGUAAGAGCCUACCAAGGCAACGAUCGGUAGCCGGCCUGAGAGGGCACACGGCCACACUGGCACUGAAACACGGGCCAG
rnacentral:rRNA from 1 species